AUUGAACGCUGGCGGCAGGCCUAACACAUGCAAGUCGAGCGGAUGAAGGGAGCUUGCUCCUGGAUUCAGCGGCGGACGGGUGAGUAAUGCCUAGGAAUCUGCCUGGUAUUGGGGGAUAACGUCAGGUAACGGGCGCUAAUACCGCAUACGUCCUGAUGGAGAACGGGGGGGAUCUUCAGACCAAAAGCUAUUAGCUGACCCUAGGUCGGAUUAGCGAGUUGGAUGGGCAAAGGCGUACCAUGGCGACGAACCGUAACUGGUCUGAGAGGAUGAUCAGCAACACUGGAACGGAGACACGGUCCGGACUCCUACGGGAGGCAGAAGUGGGGAAUAUUCGACAAGGGGCGAAGGCCUGAUCCAGCAAUGCCGCGUGUGUGAAGAAGGUCUUCGGAUUGUAAAGCACGUUAAGUUGGGAGGAAAGGCAGUAAGUUAAUACCUUGCUGUUUUGACGUUACCAACAGAAUAAGCACCGGCUAACUUCGUG
rnacentral:rRNA from 1 species